UACGUAGGUGGCGAGCGUUAUCCGGAAUUAUUGGGCGUAAAGAGUGAGCAGGCGGCCGUUUAAGUCUGAAGUCAAAUGCAGUGGCUUAACCAUUGUUCGCUUCGGAAACUGGAUGGCUAGAGUUCGGGAGAGGUAAAUGGAACUUCAUGUGUAGCGGUAAAAUGCGUAGAUAUAUGAAAGAACACCAGUGGCGAAGGCGAUUUACUAGACCGAUACUGACGCUCAGUCACGAAAGCGUGGGUAGCAAAUA
rnacentral:rRNA from 1 species